rnacentral:rRNA from 1 species
AAGGAUCAUUACACUCAGUAGUUUACUACUGUUAAAGAGGCUGUUAGUCUGUAUAGCUUUACCGCUGAUGAGCAGCUGGCCUCUUUUCUCCACCCUUGUCUUUUGCGCACCCAUGUUUCCUCGGCAGGCUUGCCUGUCGGCUGGACAAUACAACAACCUUUUUAAUUUUCAAUCAGCGUCUGAAAAAAACUUAAUAAUUACAACUUUCAACAAUGGAUCUCUUGGCUCCGGCAUCGAUGAAGAACGCAGCGAAAUGCGAUAGCUAGUGUGAAUUGCAGAUUUCAGUGAAUCAUCGAGUCUUUGAACGCACAUUGCGCCUCUUGGUAUUCCUCGAGGCAUGCCUAUUCGAGCGUCGUUUCGUCCCUCAAGCGCGAGCUUGGUGUUGGGGACCGCCCCUGAGAUAUGGCGGCGGCCCUUGAAUCCAUCGGCGGUGCCGGUGCGGCCCUGAGCGCAGCAGCGAUGCAGCUCUGAAGGCGGCGCCUGCCCAGCCGGACGACCCCACGAAACUUUCUGAACGUCGACCUCGAAUUAGGUAGGGAUACCCGCUGAACUUAAG